GAUGAACGCUGGCGGCGUGCCUAAUACAUACAAGUCGAGCGAACGGACGAGAAGCUUGCUUCUCUGAUGUUAGCGGCGGACGGGUGAGUAACACGUGGAUAACCUACCUAUAAGACUGGGAUAACUUCGGGAAACCGGAGCUAAUACCGGAUAAUAUUUUGAACCGCAUGGUUCAAAAGUAAAAGACGGUCUUGCUGUCACUUAUAGAUGGAUCCGCGCUGCAUUAGCUAGUUGGUAAGGUAACGGCUUACCAAGGCAACGAUGCAUAGCCGACCUGAGAGGGUGAUCGGCCACACUGGAACUGAGACACGGUCCAGACUCCUACGGGAGGCAGCAGUAGGGAAUCUUCCGCAAUGGGCGAAAGCCUGACGGAGCAACGCCGCGUGAGUGAUGAAGGUCUUCGGAUCGUAAAACUCUGUUAUUAGGGAAGAACAUAUGUGUAAGUAACUGUGCACAUCUUGACGGUACUUAAUCAGAAAGCCACGGCUAACUACGUG
rnacentral:rRNA from 1 species